rnacentral:lncRNA from 1 species
CACACACAGCCAUGGCAUCGCCGCCUGGCUGGCCCCAGACCUUAGGGACUCGUGUAGCGACCGCUGCGCCCAGCGCUGCCAAACAAGAAGCCCCGCCAGCCGAGGCUGCGCCGCCCAGUGUUCCCGAGUGAGCCCCGCGUGCGUGCCGCGCCGCUGUCGGCUCGCUCUGUGUUGAUGGCGAGCGUUGCGGACACUCACGCUGUCUGCUCGCUGGGCUCCCAGCUCCUUCUCCGCCUAGGCUCCGGCUUUUUGUUGCAAGCAGCACUUCCACCAUCCGGCUUUUUUGAUUUUCUCUCUUCGUUGGCGGCGACUGAAAAUAGUUGAUUGGUAUUGGAUCCGCUGGGGAGUGGGAGUGAAGGUGGGGAAAUGGAAGACCUGGAAGAAUCUCUCUUCAGAAAGGCAUCUCCGCCCAGUCGCCAGCCAGCCCUGCCUCUACUUUAAUCCUCGCCAGGACAAUAGAUUAAGUUACUCUUCCUGGGGCAGAAGUCCGUUUCAGAUUCCUGGCAAAAUGAAGGAAAAGGCGAUGAUCAAGACGGCCAAAAUGCAGGGGAACGUGAUGGUGUUGUAUUGCUAUCUGCUACUUUCUGUUUGAGGCUGGGACAAGGAGAUAGGAUGGCUGUAUUCCUUUGGAAGGUCCAGCAGGAGAUACAAUAAUUGUUUCAGCUGCAAGAUCUAGAGUUGUUUACAAAAGUGAGGAAGGGCAGCGUCCAGGGCAGAAGUGUGGGGAGACAUGUUUGGAAGACCCAGAUAAUGGGCCAUAUGGAGGUCUUCCUUCAAGGAAAGAGAGGAAGGAAAUGAAAGUUAUUUAAUUGAACAAAUACAGGCUGGCUUAACCACACCCACAUGCAGCAAGGCACUUGUUGCCUGGCACAGAGCAGCAGGGUGGGUUGGUUCAGAACUUGACUUUUGAUGAAGUAUGCCCUGCUCCACUCAAGACCCUAGGGUGUGACACCUGCUCAGAGGCCACCCCAAGGGCUGUCUUCAGCCCAGGUUCUGCUGCUGGCUGGCCUAAUUUCUCAUUAGUG